CGAGGCAGCUGACUUCAUCAGUAGACCACUCAUUGACAAGUUCAUAGCUCAAUGCGCUUACUAGAAGAGCUCCCAGUCCAGGGAAAGAUGCAGCCCAGGAAAGUGGCAAUUCCAACAUGAUGAAGUACGGACUUGUAAGGCUGGUCAAGACAUGCAUGGGGAGACUUCAAGACCUAGGAGAAGUUCACUAGAGAACGAAGAGACAACUAGAGGGAAGGUGCUGAGAAGGCUGGGGGUUCUGAGCAGAGCAUUGGAGAAACAAUUUCAAGACAGUGUCAGAACAUGUUGAAAUAUCAGAAAUAAGACUUGAGAGGGAACACAAACACUGACUUACAGGGCCAGACUCGGAUAAUAUGCGUGUGAAGACUACUGCACCUUAUGCAAAGCAACCCAACCUCCAAUGUGUGCAUCUUGAAUGCCAAGUAUCCAUCAAGCGUUUUUCUGGACAAUUUCACAUGAACCAUCUCCAUCUCUCACCACUGUGGCCUUGUGAGGGAACU